UGUUUGUUUUAAACCUUAUGUUUGUUUAUGUCUGGUUUUCCUUUUGAUUGUUGAUAGACCCUUAAGGAAAGGACUGUCAUGGAUUCAGUCACAGGGCUGGCUAACCCACAACUAGACUCAUUUUGUCGACUGCCUGGAUAUCAAAACCAAAGGCUGAGUAAGUUCAGAGCCCCAUCACACCUAAGAUGAUCUGGGAGACCCAAACUGCAAAAGAGGCAUGGAGGAAAAUAUUCUACUUCCAGACUUUAUGAAUACUUUGAUCCUUGUUGAGGAUAACACUGGUACUGAGCUGCACAGACUGAAUCUGGAGGGCCUGCUCUCUUAUAUCCUCAGAUUCUUAUUGUCAGAGUGAUCAGCCCAAAGAAUGUUCUGGAGCGAUGAGGAAACUGAGGCAAAGAAAUAUUUUGGGAACCCAACAGUGCAAAUUACAUAUGAAAAUGAGAAGUGACCUUUCUGUCUACACUUCCAAAACAUCUAGUGCUGGCUAAGUAUUCCAAUUAUCAGCAGAAUACUUUUAUUUUGGCUUUUGCAUUGUUUGUUAAAAUAUCUCAAACUCACCAUUUUUUUUCUUUCUGAAAUGCGUUAACGAUAAUUAAAUCAACUACCAUUUCUGAGGUAAAGGUCUGAUAUCUAUCACAAAAAUAGAAAUUUAAGUUGCAUCAAAUUGGAUGUCAAAAACAGACUCCAACGAGAGACUGCUGAGUUGGAAUUAAUUUGCAAGAUGGACACCAUUAAAUUAGGCUUGAAAAAAGACUGGGAGUGGAUGGGUUAUUACACAAAGUAAAACUAUUUACCCAUGUUUAUUCCCCACACACACACUGUUCCUCACAACUUCUUGUCAAUUGCUUCAAAUGGACUGUUUUGAUUACCACUACAAAAAGUUUUUUUUCUCUCCUGCUGGUAAUAGCUCAUCUUAACUGAUCGCUCUCGUUAGAGUGUGUAUGGUAACACCCAUUUUUUUAUGUUCUCUUUGUAUAUAUAUAGCUUCCUACUGUAUUUUCCACUGCAUGCAUCCAGUGAAGUGGGCUGUAGUCCACGAAAGCUUAUGCUCAAAUAAAUUUGUUAGUCUCUAAGGUGCCA
rnacentral:lncRNA from 1 species